GACGAACGCUGGCGGCGUGCUUAACACAUGCAAGUCGAGCGGUAAGGCCCUUUCGGGGGUACACGAGCGGCGAACGGGUGAGUAACACGUGGGUGACCUGCCUUCAGCUCUGGGAUAAGCCUGGGGAACCGGGUCUAAUACCGGAUAUGACUCCAUGACGCAUGUUGUGGGGUGGAAAGCCUUGUGCGGCUGAGGAUGGGCCCGCGGCCUAUCAGCUUGUUGGUGGGGUGAUGGCCUACCAAGGCGACGACGGGUAGCCGGCUUGAGAGGGCGACCGGCCACACUGGGACUGAGACACGGCCCAGACUCCUACGGGAGGCAGCAGUGGGGAAUCUUGCGCAAUGGGCGAAAGCCUGACGCAGCGACGCCGCGUGAGGGAUGACGGCCU
rnacentral:rRNA from 1 species